rnacentral:rRNA from 1 species
UACGGGAGGCAGCAGUAGGGAAUCUUCCGCAAUGGACGAAAGUCUGACGGAGCAACGCCGCGUGUGUGAAGAAGGUCUUCGGAUCGUAAAGCACUGUUAUUAGAGAAGAACAACCGGUAGAGUAACUGUUACCGGCUUGACGGUAUCUAACCAGAAAGCCACGGCUAACUACGUGCCAGCAGCCGCGGUAAUACGUAGGUGGCAAGCGUUGUCCGGAUUUAUUGGGCGUAAAGGGAGCGCAGGCGGUGACUUAAGUCUGAUGUGAAAGCCCACGGCUCAACCGUGGAAGGUCAUUGGAAACUGGGUCACUUGAGUGCAGAAGAGGAAAGUGGAAUUCCAUGUGUAGCGGUGAAAUGCGUAGAUAUAUGGAGGAACACCAGUGGCGAAGGCGACUUUCUGGUCUGUAACUGACGCUGAGGCUCGAAAGCGUGGGGAGCAAACAGGAUUAGAUACCCUGGUAGUCCACGCCGUAAACGAUGAGUGCUAAGUGUUGGAGGGUUUCCACCCUUCAGUGCUGGAGUUAACGCAAUAAGCACUCCGCCUGGGGAGUACGGUCGCAAGACUGAAACUCAAAGGAAUUGACGGA